UACGUAGGGGGCUAGCGUUGUCCGGAAUCAUUGGGCGUAAAGAGCGUGUAGGCGGCCCGGUAAGUCCGCUGUGAAAGUCGGGGGCUCAACCCUCGAAUGCCGGUGGAUACUGUCGGGCUAGAGUGCGGAAGAGGCGAGUGGAAUUCCUGGUGUAGCGGUGAAAUGCGCAGAUAUCAGGAGGAACACCGAUUACGAAGGCAGCUCGCUGGGACGUAACUGACGCUGAGACGCGAAAGCGUGGGGAGCAAACAGG
rnacentral:rRNA from 1 species